UAAAUUGGAGGUCGAACAACCACCCGGGUU
rnacentral:piRNA from 1 species